UACAGAGACUGCAAGCGUUAUUCGGAUUCACUGGGCGUAAAGGGUGCGCAGGCGGCCAAGUGUGUUAGGUGUGAAAGCCCGGGGCUUAACCCCGGAAUUGCACCUAAAACUACAUAGCUAGAGCAUUGGAGAGGGGAGCAGAAUUCACGGUGUAGCAGUGAAAUGCGUAGAUAUCGUGAGGAAUACCAGAGGCGAAGGCGGCUCCCUGGACAAUUGCUGACGCUCAGGCACGAAAGCGUGGGGAGCAAAAGGG
rnacentral:rRNA from 1 species